rnacentral:rRNA from 1 species
UACAGAGGUCUCAAGCGUUUGUUCGGAUUUACUGGGCGUAAAGGGCGCGUAGGCGGCGUAACAAGUCACUUGUGAAAUCUCCGGGCUUAACCCGGAGCGGCCAAGUGAUACUGUUGUGCUAGAGUGCGGAAGGGGCUACUGGAAUUCUCGGUGUAGCGGUGAAAUGCGUAGAUAUCGAGAGGAACACCGGGUGGCGAAGGCGGUUCUCUGGGCCUUACCUGACACUGAGGAGCGAAGGCGUGGGGAGCGAACAGG